rnacentral:rRNA from 1 species
UACAGAGGGGGCGAGCGUUGUUCGGAAUUACUGGGCGUAAAGGGCGCGUAGGCGGCCUUCUAAGUCGAACGUGAAAUCCCCGGGCUCAACCCGGGAACUGCGUCCGAUACUGGGAGGCUUGAAUCCGGGAGAGGGAAGCGGAAUUCCGGGUGUAGCGGUGAAAUGCGUAGAUAUCCGGAGGAACACCGGUGGCGAAGGCGGCUUCCUGGACCGACACUGACGCUGAGGCGCGAAAGCUAGGGGAGCAAACGGG